ACGCUGGCGGUAUGCUUAACACAUGCAAGUUCCCAACGAAGUUCUUAGGAAACUUAGUGGCGGACGGGUGAGUAACGCGUGAGAAUUUGGCUUUAGGUCGGGGACAACCACUGGAAACGGUGGCUAAUACCGGAUAUGCCGAGAGGUGAAAGAUUUAUUGCCUGAAGAUAAGCUCGCGUCUGAUUAGCUAGUUGGUGGGGUAAGAGCCUACCAAGGCGACGAUCAGUAGCUGGUCUGAGAGGAUGAUCAGCCACACUGGGACUGAGACACGGCCCAGACUCCUACGGGAGGCAGCAGUGGGGAAUUUUCCGCAAUGGGCGAAAGCCUGACGGAGCAAUACCGCGUGAGGGAGGAAGGCUCUUGGGUCGUAAACCUCUUUUCUCAGGGAAGAAAAAAAUGACGGUACCUGAGGAAUAAGCAUCGGCUAACUCCGUGCCAGCAGCCGCGGUAAUACGGAGGAUGCAAGCGUUAUCCGGAAUGAUUGGGCGUAAAGGGUCCGUAGGUGGUACUGUAAGUCUGCUGUUAAAGAGCAAGGCUCCACCUUGUAAAAGCAGUGGAAACUACAGAACUAGAGUGCGUUCGGGGCAGAAGGAAUUCCUGGUGUAGCGGUGAAAUGCGUACAUAUCAGGAAGAACACCGGUGGC
rnacentral:rRNA from 1 species